rnacentral:rRNA from 1 species
CCUUGGCAUCAGGAGCCGAAGAAGGACGUGGGAAUCUGCGAUAAGCCUGGUGGAGUCGAUAACCGGACGUUGAGGCCAGGAUUUCCGAAUGGGGAAACCCAGCACGGUGUGAGUCGUGUUACCCGUCACUGAAUUCAUAGGUGGCGUGGAGGGAACGCGGGGAAGUGAAACAUCUCAGUACCCGUAGGAAGAGAAAACAAAAGUGAUUCCGUGAGUAGUGGCGAGCGAAAGCGGAUGGGGCUAAACCUUGUAUGUGUGAUACCCGGCAGGGGUUGCGUAUGGGGUGUUGUGGGGUUAUUUCGUCCAGUCACUGCCGUGGCUGGGGGGUGAGGUGCAGGCGUAUAGGCGAAGCGGUUUGAAUGCCGUGCCGUAGAGGGUGUGAGUCCCGUAGCCGUCAUGCGUGUCUGCCGCUCUAGGAGUGAUACCCGAGUAGCACGGGGCUCGAGGAAUCUCGUGUGAAUCUGCCAGGACCACCUGGUAAGCCUGAAUACUACCUGAUGACCGAUAGCGGAUAAGUACCGUGAGGGAAUGGUGAAAAGUACCCCGGGAGGGGAGUGAAAUAGUACCUGAAACCGUGCGCCUACAAGCGGUCGGAGCCAGCAAUGGUGACGGCGUGCCUUUUGCAUAAUGAGCCUACGAGUUACUCCUCACUGGCGAGGUUAAGUUCCUGAAGUAACGGAGCCGUAGCGAAAGCGAGUCCGAACAGGGCGUUUUAGUCAGUGGGGGUAGACGCGAAACUUUGUGAUCUAUCCAUGGGCAGGUUGAAGGUGUGGUAACACACACUGGAGGACCGAACCCAUUAACGUUGAAAAGUUAUGUGAUGACCUGUGGAUAGGGGUGAAAGGCCAAUCAAACUGAGAGAUAGCUCGUUCUCCCCGAAAUGUUUUUAGGAACAGCCUCGGAUUAUAGAAGUUUACCAGAGGUAGAGCUACUGAUUGGGCUAGGGGGCUUCACCGCCUACCAAACCCUGACAAACUCCGAAUGCUGGUAAAUAUCUCCGGGAGUGAGGCUGUGGGCGCUAAGGUCCAUGGCCGAGAGGGAAAUAACCCAGAUUAACAGCUAAGGUCCCUAAUAGAUAGUUAAGUUGAACAAACGAAGUUUGAACCCUAUAACAGCCAGGAUGUUGGCUUGGAAGCAGCCAU